rnacentral:tRNA from 1 species
GCCCCCCUCGUCUAGUGGCCUAGGACACGGCCCUCUCAAGGCCGGGACACGGGUUCGAAUCCCGUGGGGGGCG